rnacentral:tRNA from 1 species
UAUUUAUAUAGUAUAAAAAUUAUGAUUGACUUCCAAUCAAUUGAUCUGAUUAAAUUUAGUAUAAAUAA